rnacentral:rRNA from 1 species
UUCUGCAUAUCAAAAAGCGGAGGAAAAGAAACUAACGAGGAUUCCCCUAGUAACGGCGAGCGAACCGGGACCAGCCCAGAAUGUGAAUCGCGCGGGCACGGACGCCCGCGCGAGUUGUAUGGUUUGUGCGCGGUGGCCCUGCGCGGCGCGUGCGUCCAAGUUCCCUGGGAGGGGACGUCGCAGAGGGUGACAACCCCGUGGGACGCGCGCGGUUGCGCUGCACGGGCCCCGCGUUCUCGAGUCGGGUUGCUUGGGAAUGCAGCCCCAACUCGGUGGUAGAUCCCAUCGAAGGCUAAAUACGGGCGGGAGACCGAUAGCGAACAAGUACCGUGAGGGAAAGAUGAAAAGAACUUUGAAAAGAGAGUCAAAAAGUGCUUGAAAUUGUUGAGAGGGAAGCGAUGCUGAGCUGCGUUUGUUUGUGUGGCGGGGUGCAUGCCUCUGUGAGAGUGAUUAAGUUCGUUCUCCGGGGCCCCUACUCCCGUCGCCUGGUCAGCAUCGGUUCCGCGAGGGCGGUAGAAAGCGUCGGGGUGCAAGUUGCGCGGGUUGGAUGUCGCGAGGUUUCUACUUCACGACCCCCCCGCUCAUGCCGGCGUCAUACCCUCUCCGGGACCGAGGAACACCUACCGUGCGCGUUUCUCACGGGGACCUGUGUCCCCCGCGGCGGUGGAUGCUGGCCGAGCCCGCUCAAUCGGCCCGUCUUGAAACACGGACACAAA